rnacentral:rRNA from 1 species
GACGAACGCUGGCGGCGUGCCUAACACAUGCAAGUCGAACGGCGCGGCGGACGGGUGAGUAAUGCCUAUGUCUCUGCCUGUUCGUGGGGGAUAACGUCCGGAACCGGGCGCUAAUGCCGCAUACUCUCACAUUAGCCUAGGUCGGAUUAGCUAGUUGGUGUGGUAAAGGCCUACCAAGGCGACGAUCCGUAACUGGUCUGAGAGGAUGAUCAGUCACACUGGAACUGAGACACGGGCCAGACUCCUACGGGAGGCAGCAGUGGGGAAUAUUGGACAAUGGGCGAAAGCCUGAUCCAGCCAUGCCGCGUGUGUGAAGAAGGUCUUCGGAUUGUAAAGCACUUUAAGUUGGGAGGCGUUACCAACAGAAUAAGCACCGGCUAACUUCGUGCCAGCAGCCGCGGUAAUAC